rnacentral:rRNA from 1 species
CAGUCGCCACGGUAAUACGGAGGGGGCUAGCGUUGUUCGGAAUUACUGGGCGUAAAGCGCACGUAGGCGGCUUUGUAAGUUAGAGGUGAAAGCCCGCAGCUCAACUGCGGAACUGCCUUUGAUACUGGGUAUCUUGAGUAUGGAAGAGGUAAGUGGAAUUGCGAGUGUAGAGGUGAAAUUCGUAGAUAUUCGCAGGAACACCAGUGGCGAAGGCGGCUUACUGGUCCAUUACUGACGCUGAGGUGCGAAAGCGUGGGGAGCAAACAGGAUUAGAUACCCGCGUAGUCCCUGUCUCUUAUAC